AGUAGUUUGAUCAUGGCUCAGAACGAACGCUGGCGGCAUGCCUAACACAUGCAAGUCGAACGAAGUCUUCGGACUUAGUGGCGCACGGGUGCGUAACGCGUGGGAAUCUGCCCUUGGGUGCGGAAUAACUUCUCGAAAGGGAUGCUAAUACCGCAUAAUGUCGUAAGACCAAAGAUUUAUCGCCCAAGGAUGAGCCCGCGUAAGAUUAGCUAGUUGGUAAGGUAACGGCUUACCAAGGCAACGAUGGGUAGGGGUCCUGAGAGGGAGAUCCCCCACACUGGUACUGAGACACGGACCAGACUCCUACGGGAGGCAGCAGUGAGGAGUAUUGGACAAUGGGCGCAAGCCUGAUCCAGCCAUGCCGCGUGCAGGAUGACGGUCCUAUGGAUUGUAAACUGCUUUUGCACAGGAAGAAACAACUCUACGUGUAGAGUCUUGACGGUACUGUGAGAAUAAGGAUCGGCUAACUCCGUG
rnacentral:rRNA from 1 species